rnacentral:rRNA from 1 species
UACGUAGGGCGCGAGCGUUGUCCGGAUUUAUUGGGCGUAAAGGGCUCGUAGGCGGUCUGUUGCGUCGGGAGUGAAAACUUACAGCUUAACUGUGAGCGUGCUUCCGAUACGGGCAGACUUGAGGUAUUCAGGGGAGAACGGAAUUCCUGGUGUAGCGGUGAGAUGCGCAGAUAUCAGGAGGAACACCGGUGGCGAAGGCGGUUCUCUGGGAAUAUCCUGACGCUGAGGAGCGAAAGUGUGGGGAGCGAACAGG